rnacentral:tRNA from 1 species
GGGAAUGUGGCUUACUGGUAGAGUGCUUGCCUGGCAUGCAUGAGGCCUUGGAUUCAAUUCCCCAGUACCA